GCCUGGGUAGCUUAGCGGUAAAGCGCGUCCUUGGUAAGGACGAGGACCGUUAUUGGAACGCGAGGUUCCAAACCGACGGCUACAGGCA
rnacentral:tRNA from 2 species